ACAUUUUGAAUUGUCAACGGUGGAAAGAGGUUUCUCUAAAGUUGCACAGCAGAAGUGCAACUUGAAUUAGCAGCCAGCAUCAGCUCCAGCAAUCUGCUCCUGACAGAAGCUAGUGCUGGAGAAAAAAAAUCAAGAAAUUACCUUACUGGCAACAAAGAAAUGUCAGGUUUAAAAGAAAACUGUUACACAGAGAAAUCACUUAAACUGUGAGGAAAUUGAUAAAAGAAAAAUGUCUACUGAGGAAGAACGAGGACCUUAUAAUGUGACAUGCUCAGAAAGUCACUUACAUGACUUCUGAUGUACAUUUGUCCCAGUUGAACAGAACAAGGCUCUUUCUUCAAACAAGGAGCAAAAAAGCUACAUUGCACUGAUUGGAAAAAACAAAUCUUAUUUUCCAUGUCUGUGCCCUGAACAAAAAAAGAAGUAGAUGAAAGGAUGGUGUUGUAACAGAUCAGGCUUCAUACCACAUCAGAGUUUAUCAAGAAAAUGACAUACAGACAUAAUAGUUGCAGGAUAGCAACUCAUAGGUCAAGAAAAAACAGAAAGGUAAUUUCAUUUGCUCCAGAUCUCCAGAAAGUCUUUAAGAAUUGGUAAGAACCUGGUGGCAGCAAACCACCAGACAUACUUGUUUGUCAAGGAACAAAGCUCUCAUAAUAUGAUGGGCAAUGUCACAAAAAAGCAUGAAAUUCUUAUGUAGAAUGAAUUAGUCUUCAAAAGAGGCAGGCAUCUGAUCAAACAUCUAAUUGUUAAUCAGUUGUCAAGCAAUUUCACUACUCCUACUAAAUUCAAAAUCAUAUUAUGACUAAUUUCAGCCACAUACCAUCUGCAAAGCAGCCUGAAUACUUUGCUUCCAUUCUGGCCUGUACACUAACAACAGAUAAUUAUUAAACGGCGUAAUGACCUGCUAAGAAUACUGUGGAAAACCCGCUGUAGUACUGGUUUAUUGGAAUUCAUUAGAGAAUGAUAUUUGAAAUCAGCUGGGUUACUAACACUAGCCAAAUAUCUGGUUUUAUGUGUGGGCUUAUCUCUCCAUAAUCACUCCCACAUGGACUAAAGUUUGUGUUUAGUUCUGACAGUAGAAGUAAAAGAGAAGCUAUCACUGGUAAUAACAAUUCUAGUCACGUACUGGACCAGGUUCAUUCCUGAAAUAAUUCUAGUCGAAGGUGUUCAGACUACUAUAUGCAUUAAUUUAAUCUACUAGAUUUGCCCAUUGCAUGCUAUCUUGGGUCAUCCUUAUAUUCUCACUAACCAGCAAUGGAUGUAACACACUGUUAGGAAAACACUUGCUUAUAGCAGUGACGUCACCGCAAAGUGAAAACAGAUGCUAACUAAAUUCUAAUAUGCGCAAGAAAGUGUGUUGGCAGCUGCAACAAAUAUCACAGUAACUGUGGAAUUCUCAUAUUGCAAUGUCUGACAAUACAAAGCAUAAGAAGCAACUAGAAAUCUAAAAGAAAACUGAAGGUGCCACCCCUAAAGAGGAAAUCUACAGAACAACAUUCUACAAUCUACAUCAAAUCUACAACAUCAUUAAAAAAAACAACACAGAAAAAUGUAUAGAAAAUUCCACCAGGUACCUCAUAUCACCACUUUUUCUCAUAUGCAGCGAGAAAAAUACUCACACCUCACCUCAUCCAUCUGAAUAGAGCUCAGUAAGAACUCUGAUCUGAAGGAUGAAUGAACCUUUGAACAAGUCAAGUCAUUUGAGAAAUGCAGAGAAACUUACCAUGAUGCAAAAGAUCAAGUGUCACUGCAUGCACAUCUCUCAUUGCCCUAUUGUACCCUAAACUAAAAAUUUAGUGUGAAAAAUCUUAGAGUUACAGUCUAAGCUAGAAAGAAACAUCAUAUUGUGCAAGAAUUUUGCCCAGAAACUCCACUCAUUGCUCUUAAGUAAAGUUUAGAGACUUGGCUGUCUUGAUUGCCAGCAGCAAAUUUUCUUUAGGAUAUCAUACAUCAGACCAUUUUGAGGCAAAACCACUUCCAGUUUGUCAACAAAUUUCCUGCAGUAAAGGCUACAGAGGAAUCAAAUUGUUAUGCAAGUCAUCCCAUGCAUCAAAUGUCCUUAUAACAAUUACCUCUGUGGAGUCGAAGACUGAAUACAUGCUAAACUGAGCUCAUCCAGGCAAUAGAGAUCACAUCCAACCAGUUUUUUGCACUGUUUUCAUGGAGCAAUGGUGUCAUGUUUGAGUAGUGAGCUCUUUGGCAACCUGCAAACAAACUACAGAGUCAGGGUGGGGGUUACACUCAACGACCCGUUUCUUGCUUAAGUGUAGCAGAGCUAAGAGAUGCCGCCUUUCUAAGACAAUACUAUCUUCUCCCUUCCCUCUCCUGUCAGCUUCUCACUUCGCUAUUGCUGAUUAUUACUGUCUCUCUUCACCUCAUAGGGCCUAACUAACUUAUUUCCAGCAUUCUAGGAGAUUCCUUUAUUUCUAUGAAGUCACACACUUUCUCCUCCCCACAGCAAGUGUUCUCCCUGGUCAAGGAACUUUUUUUUGCUUCUACGGCAGGUCAACAUAUAAAAAUAAGUAGGUCCCACCCACCCAGACAGUAGGUCAACACAUAAAAGAAAUAGGUUCUACCCACUC
rnacentral:lncRNA from 7 species